rnacentral:misc_RNA from 1 species
CUUUUAUUACAUUGUGCAGGAUCUCAAGAUUGUAGACUUUUGAACUGUCCUCAACUGUUAUGGGUAGCUUCUAAAGUCUACAAUCUAGAGAUCCUGCACAAUGUAAUAAAAGCUGCAGCAACUACGACCUAAUCUGAUGUGAAACAUAAUUUACCUACAUACAUUAAAAUCUAGUAUCGACAUAUAAUGACAUCUAGCAGUUACAAUGCUAAUGUUACAGUCAUCCACAGAAUCCAAAAAGUCACCAGAACUAAAAUAGGCAGCGCUAUGACAAGAGAACUACA